rnacentral:rRNA from 1 species
AUUGAACGCUGGCGGCAGGCCUAACACAUGCAAUUCGAACGAGUGGCGGACGGGUGAGUAAUGUCUGGGAAACUGCCUGCUGGCGGGGGAUAACUACUGUCAACGGUAGCUAAUACCGCAUACCAUCAGAUUUGCCCAGAUGGGAUUCGCUUGUUGGUGGGGUAACGGCUCACCUAGGCGACGAUCCCUAGCUGGUCUGAGAGGAUGACCAGACAAACUGGAACUGAGACACGGUCCAGACUCCUACGGGAGGCAGCAGUGGGGAAUAUUGCACAAUGGGCGCAAGCCUGAUGCAGCCAUGCCGCGUGUAUGAAGAAGGCCGUCGGGUUGUAAAGUACUUUCAGCGAGGAGGCGUUACCCGCAGAAGAAGCACCGGCUAACUCCGUGCCAGCAGCCGCGGUAAUUC